GCGGGUAUCGUCUAACGGUAAGACUACGGUCUCCAAAACCGUCAAUCUUGGUUCAAGUCCUUGUACCCGUGCCA
rnacentral:tRNA from 1 species